rnacentral:rRNA from 1 species
AUUGAACGCUGGCGGCAGGCCUAACACAUGCAAGUCGAGCGGGGUUUUCGGACCUAGCGGCGGACGGGUGAGUAAUGCGUAGGAAGCUACCCGAUAGAGGGGAUACCAGUUGGAAACGACUGUUAAUACCGCAUAAUGUCUACGGACCAAAGUGUGGGACCUUCGGGCCACAUGCUAUCGGAUGCGCCUACGUGGGAUUAGCUAGUUGGUGGGGUAAUGGCUCACCAAGGCGACGAUCCCUAGCUGGUUUGAGAGGAUGAUCAGCCACACUGGGACUGAGACACGGCCCAGACUCCUACGGGAGGCAGCAGUGGGGAAUAUUGGACAAUGGGCGAAAGCCUGAUCCAGCAAUGCCGCGUGAGUGAUGAAGGCC